CGGAGAGGGAGCCUGAGAGACGGUCACCACAUCCAAGGAAGGCAGCAGGCACACAAAUUACCCAAUGUUGACACAAUGAGGUAGUAACAAUGAAUGACCAUGCUGGGACGUUACAGGUCUGACAACUGGAAUGAGAAUGAUGUAAACACGUUAUCAAGGACCAAUUGGAGGGCAAGUAUGGUGCCAGCAGCUGAGGUAAUUCCAGCCCCAAUAGCAUAUAUUAAAGUUGUUGCAGUUAACAAGAUCAUAGUUGGAUACUUGGCUUUAGUGGGGGUCCCACACAUGGUGUGGAUACCUCAUCGUCUUGGACCAUCCUUGGGGAUAGCCUGUGUGGCAUAAAGUUUCCAGACAGGGGAUUUCCAUCAUUUACUGUGAAGAAAUGAAAGUGUUCAAAACAGGCUUAUGCUGUUGAAUACACAAGCAUGGAAUAAUGAGAUAGGAUUUUGAUACUACUCUGCUGGUUUGCACAUCAAGGUAAUGAUCAAUAGGGACAGUUGGGGGUGUUCACAUUCAAUUGUCAGAGGUGAAAUUCUUGGAUUUCUGGAAGACGAACAACUGCUAAUGCAGUUACCAAGGAUGUGUUCAUUAAUGGAGAACAAGAGUUAGGGGAUCAAAGAUGAUUAGAUACCAUCAUAGUCUUAACCACAAACUAUGCCAACUAGGGAUCAGCGGUCAUUAUACAUGACUCUGUCAGCACCUUAUAAGAAAUUAAAGUGUUUGGGUUCCAGGGGGAGUAUGGUUGCAAGGCUGAACCUUAAAGAAACUGAUGGAAGGGCACCACCAGGAGUGGAGCAAGUGGCUUAGUUUGAUGCAACAUGGGAAAACUUACCAGGUCCAGACAUAGUGAGGAUUGACAGAUUGAGAUUUCUUCUUUGAUUCCAUGGGUGGUGUUUCAUGGGAAUUCUUAGUUGGUGGAGUGAUUUGUCUUGUUAAUUCCAUUAACGAACAAUGCCCCUGCCUACUAAAUCGUUUGGUGAAUGAGUUUUCAUUGACAAGAUAUUAUUAGAGGGACUUUUGGUGACUUACCAAAGGAAGUUGGGGAAAAUAACAGGUCUGUGAUGCCCU
rnacentral:rRNA from 1 species